rnacentral:lncRNA from 1 species
CCCUGGUGAAGUACAGAUGUCGCAACCACAGAGGCGCAGAAACCUCCAGGUUCCUAGAGCGGACCGGAAAUGACGCCCGCGGCGGGAAGCCGAGCGUCGGGUGGGGGACCCGAGCGGUCCCUGUGCUCGCCGGCUCCCUGCGGCUGUGGGCUCCCGCGGAGUGCGAACCCGGCUCCCCAAAGCCGGAGGCGCCGCAGGACCGCCAAGGGCUUUGAGGCGGCCCGAGAAGGGCCAGGCUUCGGAGCCUGCCACCUGACGAAGGCGGGACGUGGGGGGACGCGUCCAGAAGCGUAGGUCUGCGACGAGAGCUGCCCCCGCGGCACUAAGGUUGGCUCCGGAGGCGCCCGGCUGCGGGGGAAGCAGUAGCCGCUUCUCCUCGGCCUUCAGGAGGGAACGGAGGGGAUGGCUGUGCGGAGACAGCCCUCGGGCCCGGCUGCAGAAGGAGCUGGCCUGGCCGCUCCCCAUCAGGCGAGGUCCACCCGGAGCAGCCUGGCCUUGCGGAUGGCAGGACGUCCCUGUCGGUGCGUGUGGUUGGGGGGCGGGGGGGCACCGAGCGGUUCAGGAGCUGGCGCGGCGGGUGCAGGAGGAUAACAGCACCUGCUCAGGUAGCCGCGUCUUCUGCAGAACCACCCUCUGGAGGGCAGAAGCGACGUGACUGUGUCGAGUGCACUGAUGAUUCUGCGCAUCCUAAGUGUGAGAUGUGUAUUGUCGCAGGGCGAGCCCGUGGUCAGAUGAUAGCAGUCCAUCGACCUCAACAGCCUGCCUCUACCCAGAAGUCAUUAGAGAUGAAAGUUCUUGAGCAGCGUUGAUGUGCAGAGAGUGCUCCGCCGGAUCCCCGAGUCCGUCUGGCCCUUGCUUCUGCGCGGGCGCUGUUCUGGGACACUGCCUCGUUCCUGAUCGUAAAGGAAAAGCUCUCAUUUCUUCACCUUGGAGAAGGAUGUUAGCUCUGGGCUCAUAUUCCAUCUCAAAUUAUGUUCAGUUCAUGUGGUGUAUCCCACUAAUCCAGUCAUCUCUGAGGUGUGUUGAUGAUGAUGAAUAUCCCGGGAAACCUGGCAAGACUGUGUCCCAGAUCUACCAGUUAACGUGCUUUAAGUGGAAGAACCUGAACAGAGACAUGAUCCUCACCUGUCAUGUCCUGGCCACCAUCCUGGUGUACUCUUCCCUGGGUGGAAAGAGAACUGCCUGGAGAGGCCUGCGUCCUCAUCCGUGCACCCUUCAAAGACCACAGGAGUCAGACGUGCUGGGAGCCCAAACACAAGCCCAGUGA